AUGCAGUACAAUUACAGAGGGAAAACCCAACUAUUCUGCACGGUCUGAGAGGCGCACACGUGUUGUGCUCGCACAUCGUCGGAGGAACGCUCUGAACAGCGACGUGUGUGUAUAUCGAGCUGGAGAGCAUGCUAGCUGAUGGCUAACACUGAAAUAGCGCCCUUGGAACGGCAGAAUGAGCCAAACUAAAAUGACAUCAUGCCGACGGGAAGUCGGGCUGAAUACGUACCCACAAGGCCCUGCAGGAGGACCAGGGACCAACGGCAGGAGGGGUAUCUGCUCAACAGGAGGAUGAGAUAUCUAUCAGAGGGGAAAAUCUUAAGGCCUAAGAAGGGGCAGCAUCUUAUCACCAACCUAGAGGAAGCGAUCCACUGGCUGGAGAAACAUGGCCUCAUCAGGAGCUGUUAACCUUAUGUGAGGAACAUUUUUUCAUAAAGGAUGAAAGAAAUGGAAUCCACAGAGAAAGAGAAGCAAACGCACAGACAUGAAGGAAAUCUCUUGUGCUCGCUGUGUGCAGCACAGAGGCAGGCAGUGAUACCAUCAUGCUUACAGGGUUCACAUUUACACCUCUCUCGCCUUUUGACUGCUACAUUCCUGACCAUCCACAAUGAUUUUCCUCAGUAUCUCAGAGGGAAUAUACUUUACACUUAAUCUGUCAACACCACGCUAUUCACUGCAGGUUUUAUUACAGGGAUGAGGAGCAGGUUGGGUAGGUGUUUCCUCUGUGGUGACAUUUUCUCUGAGGACAACAGCGGCCGCAUUGUGCCGACAGCCUGACUUGUAUCCUUGUUGGGAGAUUCCUCAGCAUUCCUGAAAGCACCGUCGCUGUGACUGGGAGCUCUGUUUUCGGCACCCCUGAAGCCUCGACAAGCUCUAUAAGAGCGUCGGUGCACAGCUUCCAAAAUUCCACAGGUUGACAGAUCUGAAAGACCUCUUGGGAAUCAAGGUCAAAAGAUGAGGUGAACGCUGCAGCCAACAUGCCCCAACAGUCUUCUGCCUGCCAGCUACGAUCUCUGAACGUACUAGAGUUGGUCUUCACUUUCAGUUAUUAUAGCUCUUGGCAUGAAUCAUAACUGCAGUGCCAGUAACAAGAUUUUUCUUGCUUGGCUAUAGCUGUAGGCCACUAAAGGGAAUGCCAAAUAGCCAUUAUGAUAGGGAAAGAAACACUUAUAAUCUGUUGAUGAGUCAGUAAAGCAGGAAGAAUCAUCAGUCCUGGUGAUUCACUGCAUUCAAUGUUGAAUCUUCAGGUCACAACAGAGCUAAAUUAAAACUAUUAUAGUGGGCCAAAACUUAGUUUUAAUAAUAUGCAGUAUGAUUCCUUAAAACAUGCAUCAGUACUCUACUUGACUUUCAUACAUACAUGCACACACAGACACAUACAUACAUACAUACAUACAUACAUACAUACAUACAUACAUACUCUUUGUUAAGAUUAUAAAUUUAAACUCUUUCUAGUUUUUAUUUCUCUAAGUGAGACAUCUCUGUGGUCUCAGUAGUACUGAAUCCUUAAAACAUUACAUCAAUGUUGUCAAUUAUAUUAUGUUGGUUGUAAAUCAGUUUUAUUGUGUCAUAACAGUUCUAGAUGUUGGUAAUGCACAGUUAGCAUAGACA
ensembl:lncRNA